AGUGAAUCAUCGAAUCUUUGAACGCACCUUGCGCCCCUUGGCAUUCCGAGGGGCACACCCGUUUGAGUGUCGUGAAAUUCUCAAAACCUUUUCUUAGGGUUUUGGACUUGGAGGUUCAAUGCUCGCUUUCGGGACCCGAAAGCGAGCUCCUCUCAAAUGAAUUAGUGGGGUCUGCUUUGCUGGUCCUUGACGUGAUAAGAUGUUUCGACGUUUUGGACUUGGCACUGUCUCUUGGAUGCCUGCUUCUAACAGUCCGUCUCGUGGACAACGAUGGUGCUCUGGUCUCUCCUCCAUCCACAAUGGUGGGAGGCUGGACCCACAAAUAAAAACCUUGACCUCAAAUCGGGUGAGACUACCCGCUGAACUUAAGCAUAUCAAUAAGCGGAGGAA
rnacentral:sRNA from 1 species